rnacentral:rRNA from 1 species
AGAGUUUGAUCCUGGCUCAGGAUGAACGCUGGCGGCGUGCUUAACACAUGCAAGUCGAACGAAGCACGGGGACGGAAGCCCUCCGGGGUGGAAGGCCGCGUGACUGAGUGGCGGACGGGUGAGUCACGCGUGGGCAACCUGCCCCGUGCCGGGGGACAACAGCCGGAAACGGCUGCUAAUACCGCAUGAUCCGGGAGGGCCGCAUGGCCCUGCCGGGAAAGCUCCGGCGGCACGGGAUGGGCCCGCGUCUGAUUAGUUUGUUGGCGGGGUAACGGCCCACCAAGACUGCGAUCAGCAGCCGGCCUGAGAGGGCGGCCGGCCACAUUGGGACUGAGACACGGCCCAGACUCCUGCGGGAGGCAGCAGUGGGGAAUAUUGCACAAUGGGGGAAACCCUGAUGCAGCGACGCCGCGUGGGCGGCGAAGCGCUCCGGCGCGUAAAGCCCUGUCAGCAGGGAAGAACAAAGACAGUACCUGACCAAGAAGCCCCGGCUAACUACGUGCCAGCAGCCGCGGUAAUACGUAGGGGGCAAGCGUUAUCCGGAUUCACUGGGCGUAAAGGGAGCGCAGGCGGCACGGCAAGUCUGGUGUGAAAGCCCGGGGCCCAACCCCGGGACUGCAUUGGAAACUGCCGGGCUGGAGUGCCGGAGGGGUAAGCGGAAUUCCUGGUGUAGCGGUGAAAUGCGCAGAUAUCAGGAAGAACACCGGUGGCGUAGGCGGCUUACUGGACGGCAACUGACGCUGAGGCUCGAAAGCGUGGGGAGCAAACAGGAUUAGAUACCCUGGUAGUCCACGCCGUAAACGAU